GUCUUUUUGAUUUUAAUUUAAAGUCUGACCUGCUCAAUGAUUUAUUAAAUAGCCGCAGUAUUUUGACUGUGCAAAGGUAGCAUAAUAAUUAGUUUCUUAAUUGGGAGCUGGAAUGAAAGGUUUAAUAAAAAAAUAACUGUCUCYGUUUUAUAAGGAGAAUUUUAUUUUUAAGUUAAAAAGCUUAAAUAAUUUUAAAAGACGAGAAGACCCUAUAGAGUUUUAUAAAAUUAUUAAUAUAUUUUUUAUUAGGCUAAAUUUUAUAUAUUAAGAAUUUUAUUUUAUUGGGGUGAUAAAAAAAUUUAAAAAACUUUUUUUUUAUAAAAACAAAAUAAUUGAGUCUUUGAUCCAUAAACAUGAUUAUAAGAGUAAAUUACCUUAGGGAUAACAGCGUAAUUUUUUUUAAAAGUUCAUAUUUAAAAAAGAGAUUGCGACCUCGAUGUUGGAUUAAAAUUUAAAUUUGGUGGAGAAGCUAAAUUUUUAAGUCUGUUCGACUUAUAGAAUUUUACA
rnacentral:rRNA from 1 species